rnacentral:rRNA from 1 species
UAAGGAAUAUUGGACAAUGGGCGCAAGCCUGAUCCAGCCAUGCCGCGUGCAGGAAGAAGGCCCUAUGGGUCGUAAACUGCUUUUGUACGGGAAGAAACCUCACUACGUGUAGUGAGUUGACGGUACCGUGAGAAUAAGGAUCGGCUAACUUCGUGCCAGCAGCCGCGGUAAUACGAAGGAUCCAAGCGUUAUCCGGAAUCAUUGGGUUUAAAGGGUCCGUAGGCGGUUUAAUAAGUCAGUGGUGAAAGCCCAUCGCUCAACGAUGGAACGGCCAUUGAUACUGUUAGACUUGAAUUACAAGGAAGUAACAAGAAUAUGUAGUGUAGCGGUGAAAUGCUUAGAUAUUACAUAGAACACCGAUUGCGAAGGCAGCUUACUACGGAUAUAUUGACACUGAGGCUCGAAAGCGGGGGGAUCAAACC